UACGUAGGGUCCGAGCGUUGUCCGGAAUUACUGGGCGUAAAGAGCUCGUAGGCGGUUUGUCACGUCUGCUGUGAAAACUGGAGGCUCAACCUCCAGCCUGCAGUGGGUACGGGCAGACUAGAGUUCGGCAGGGGAGACUGGAAUUCCUGGUGUAGCGGUGAAAUGCGCAGAUAUCAGGAGGAACACCGACGGCGAAGGCAGCACUCUGGGCCGGUACUGACGCUGGAGGAGCGAAAGCCAUGGGGAGGCGAACAGG
rnacentral:rRNA from 1 species